rnacentral:misc_RNA from 1 species
AAAGUCGUAACAAGGUCUCCGUUGGUGAACCAGCGGAGGGAUCAUUACCGAGUCUCGACGCUCAGACCCGACCGCGAACCCGAACCCGUUGCUUCGGCAGACUAAAAAAAAAAGGUCUGCCAAAGGUCUACUCUAUUAGGCUCUACAGCGGCCUGCCGCCGCGACCCUGUCCUCUGAAUUAGCUUCCAAAAAACUAGUUAAAACUUUCAACAACGGAUCUCUUGGUUCUG